UGAUGAUUUUAAAUGAUGCUGAAUUCUGCUGUCGUUUGUUAUAGCAAAGAGAGCAGGAUGAAUGGACAGUCCCAGCAGCCCAUGGACAGUCUCAAUAACAACAAGUAAGAGGUGCUCAGCGGUGUGGGUGUCGGGGGCCUCUGGCGGAGAGCCAGCGAUGGGCCCCUGUCUGCCCUGCAGGGCGCCCAGCAGAGCUCCUGCCACUGACCAGCUUCCCGCCUGGCUGCCCGUGGCUCUGCUAGGAGAGGCUGCUCCAUGUGGGGCCACAGAUGCUCCCUCCUACUGGAGGAGCCCAUCUCAACUCCUGGCCUCUGGGAGAAGGGAGGUUCCAUCUGGAAAGCUUAGUGUCCAUUCUUCUUGCCUUAGGGUUGUAGAAAGAAUGAAAGGCUGGGAUGUUCCAGGAUCCCCGCUGCUGACUGCAGUCACCACUCCCACUAGAUGCGGUUCCAGGAAGCAGCUGGACCUGGGUGAGAACCAAGCGGGGUGACCAGGCUCUCCUUAUCCCUGUAGCCUUCUGUGCAUCAGCCUGAGUCCCUGGGGAUUGACAGGCCUCCCCUCCCUGCCCGGGCUGCCUGGUUGCUGACGGUGGUGAGUGACAGCAUUGAGUGCGCUGCGCUUCCUCUCCCAGGCUGCCUGGUUUCUGGAGGUGGUGAGUGACAGCAUUGAGUCCGCUGUGCUCCCUCUCCUUUCUCCUGCACUACGUUUUCCUUAUUUGCUGACAUUAACCAUCAAAGGACCUUGGAGAGCGGCCACCACACCAGCUUUAUCCCGCAGCACAAAGACCAGUGGUUCAAGUGUGACGAUGCCAUUAUCACCAAGGCCAGCAUCAAGGACUUGCUGGACAGCAAAGGGGAUCAAGGGGACCCCAGCUGUCAGGAACUCCCUGAGGCAUUUGCACUUCACAUUCAGAGCAACAUGGACGCCCUCUUGAGAGGUUUCAUCUGGAAGGCUCUGUGGUAGACUGGACAGCCUUCAGGGCAACAAGGUGGAUAUGGACUGGACCCCCGUGAUCCUUGACAACAGCAGGCCCCACACAAGGGCAGGGCUGUGACGGGUCGGAGAGAGGCUGUGUGAGGUCGGGUGAGGCAAUGGGUGACGUCGUGGCAGGUGGGGGUGGUGGUCAAGCUGUGGUGAUGGGCAGGGCCAGUGCCACCAGCCAGCUACACACUUGUUCCUCCUUGGGGACUGAAAAGCCAACACCUUCCGGCCAUGAAAUCAGGCCUGGCAGACCUGUGCAGAGUGCAGAGCAUGCGUGCUCUUGUGUAGGGCAGGUUGUUCUGGCUUUCCCGUCUUAGGAAUUAGAUGCAGGCAUCCUCCCUCUCUCUGCCUCUGCAGGUACUUGCUGUCCGAUCACAGUUCCUGGAAUAGAGUAGACUUAUCUGCAGCUGGUCAGAAAAAAUGAAGGCAAUGCAUUGGCAAGCCUCACCAAGUGAUACCCCCAUCCACCCCCCACCUCCCGGCCUGGUGACACUGUCUCCCAUGCAGAUGUGGCCCCUCUGCCCCGGGACCCAUGGGGUCAGGAUAGACCGCAUGGAUGGGGAGGCUCCAGGAACUGCACUGAAGAUGGAUCAGAGGUGAACUUCAUACAUGUAACACUAGCGAAGCAUAGUGGGGGUACAAUGACAUCAUGACCAAACUUGUCAGCAGAGCCGAAAGAGGAAGCAGAAGGAUGUGCGUUGUUCUUUGUAAGAUAUCUUGCGUGUAUCUAUGUAUUCAAAUUCAAACAUGGUGGUUUGUCCAUUUGUCCACUGUGAAAUUGCAAACUAGGGACAAGGAGGAGGAAAAAUACUUAAUAUAAUUUAUGAAACAACCGUGUCUCAAGCUGUGCUUGUCUGGGAGCCCUGUCUGCAUCUGAACUGAGGGCUCUUCAGUCCUGCAGAGAACAGGAUCCCCUGUUUUGGGGGUGGGCAGAUGUUUUCACAGACAGCCAGAUAGCGAACACUGUCAGCUCUGGGGGCUGUAUGGUCUCUGCCGUAAACUACAGAAGUAUGGCUGUGUCUGGUACAACUCUUAGACACAGAAAUCUGAAUUGCAUAUAAUGUUCAGUGUCAAGAAACUUCGAUUUUUAAAAACUAUUUAACAAUGUGAAAAUUUUUCUUAGCUCACAGGCACAGGGAAGCUGGUGGGGACCACGUCCAGCUCUUUAGCUGGUUAGGCUGGGGAGGGGGCAGUGACAGAACUCACUGCUCAGUGGAGAGAACACCAGAACACAGGACACGACGAUCAUACCCGGCAGAACCAUCACGUGCGGCAGAAGCCUUAGGGUACUCAUGACAUCAGUUCAUUUUCUGUUGUUUUUCUGCAUUUAAAGAAUUCAAGAGGAAGCAUGCUUUAGAACAAGAAUUAUCAGAGAAAUAGGAUGGGCCCAGAUUUUCAGAAGAGGCUGUACAUAACCAAGUUCUGCUGUUUGUGUGACAGUGCUAUGAAGAUCUCUUUUGGGGGCAAGAGCUCUCUUUUAAUCAGGAACAAAUCUAAUGAAAAAGAGAGUUGACUGAAGUUGGCCUGCAGGAUUGGAAGCCGGGUAGCGCCUUUCUUGAAGGCUUGCCACCUCGGGUCACCCCGGUUUACAGGGGUGUCCUCUGAAGAGUGUGGAAGGCAGGUGUGAGGGCCUUGGGCCUUUCUGGUAGCUGCUGUGGUUUGGCCAAACCUUGCCUCCCCAUGUUCCCCUGGGCCCCUUCCUGUCUCCUUAUGGAUUCAAGGGUGGCUGUUGCUCUGAGAACACUGGAACUGGGAAGAGAGAUGGAGCUACAUGCAUUCCUGGUGGGCAUUAUUCUAAACUUUUGUAUCCAAGUUAAUCCCCUAUUCACUGUGACAUUGCCGUUUCUAGGUUCAGGAAAUCUCUCCUUUUAGCUCCUGAUCUGGCUAUGAAAUUCAGGAAACCUGUUCUCCUGUUGCCUAGUAAUCACCUCACAUAGGUGUAAAUUGUGACAAAUGUAUCUGACCACUUAGGGACCCCUUGGGUGACCCCCCCAACACAUUCCCACCAGUGUAUUAAAAAUCCCCUGCAUGUCUGAGAUGCUGGCUGUACUUUCAGCGCUUCACAGGAAGUCAAAUGGGCUUUCCUGCUUCAGAUGCCUGAAGGGAAUGCUUUGAGGUGGGUGAUGUGUUGGAGUGUGAGUGGCCUCCCUCCAGCCCCGGGGCCCUCCAUGGGGCUGGGCUCCCUGGCAGGCACUGGAACCUUCCUGGAUGUUCCCUCUUGUGCCAGCACCGCUGCAACAUAUAGACCCGAGAGCUGUUGUAUUUUGGCUUGGUGUGUAUGCUUUUCAUCUUUUCAUUGUGUAAAAUUGCUGUUCUUUUGACAGUUUGGCUGCUUUGUUUACUGUAAGUUUGAAAAUAAAAAUUAAGAAAAAAAUUCCAGUGACUGUGCUGUGGUUGGAGACUUUAUUUACCAAGAUGUUUGCCCCUUCCUUUCCCCUCUCAUUUUCAGGAGCCUUUUAACUCUUCCUUCUCCCCUAGUGGCUUGCAGUCUUUCCUAUGUCAUAAUUAAGCUACACUUUAUUCCGAAAACUGGCUGCUUCUCCUUUUAUUGACACAAGCAGUCAAAGAGAGGGUGGCAGGAGGAAGAAGAGCAAGCGCAGACCGACCUGGAUGGGGAUGUCCCUGGUCUGAGUCAGUGGCCAGAGCUGCGGUCUCAAUUUGUGCCCAAAGACUGGUUUGGGUGUCGAGAAGGCCAUGCACUCACAUUUCUUCCCUUUCUGUGACUGGCCUGCUGCUGCUGACGCUUGUUCCUUUUUUCAUGGUCAUGUGAUGACAUCCAGGAGUCAGAACAGCCAUGGACCUUCAGACUUGGGUGUGCAUGAAAGUCACCGAGGCCAUUGACAUGCAGGAAUCCUUGCCAGACUUGGAUUGCAAGACCUGGGCUGUGGUAUAGCAAUGUGCAUUUUGUAGCAAGCUCCCUGCAUGAUUGGAGAGUAGCAAAUGGAGUAGAGAGAAAAUGUGCACAGCUAGUUAAGUGCACGGUUCUGUGACAGGUCACAAGGCCAUGGUGUAUGUCUAUGAAGUGCUCUCCUACCUGCCCCCACACAUUUCCCCUGCCCUCAGUGAGUCAGGACUCUCCUGCUUGGCCUCAUCUUCAGUUAGCCUCUGAGAGUUAAAUAGCCCUCCCCCUCCAUGUUCAGGUGCCUCUGUUACAAACCUCUGUGGCAAGUUAUUUGACUUCCUUUACAUGGAAACACUAAGGGGGCACCAGAAAAUGUCCCAGCUUCCAGACUUAAUGCUGUCUCCAUGUUAAAUGCAACCAUUUUUCGUGUGCCCUCUGGGAGGCUUCACUCUACAUGGGUCCUAAGACCUUCAAACCAGUAAAGCUCCAUUUCUCCAGGACAGAAAUAGGAAAACUUUGUGACUGAGACAUUAGGUACAAUACAGGCCGGACAGGACAAGGCUUCUGUCCCAGGAGGGCUGAUGACAUGGGCCCCUGGAGCUGAGCUGCUGGGCCAGGGAGGGCCAGUCUGUCUCCCUCACAGAUGGCCCAAUGCCAGGGGAUGCCCUUGAGGACCCUCGCUCCAGUUUGGCUGAGAAUAAAAGAAACAGACAUGGUCAGCAUCUUCACCGAGCCCACCGGGGCCCCUCAGGGAUGAGCCCCACAGGCCUGGGCCUCUGGCGUCCUCGGGGUCCCUGUGUGGCCCCCUGGUCUGUGACUGAGGACACCCCUGCAGGCUGCUGAUCCCAGAGGGAGUGCUGUGUGCAGUCUGGGGUUGGGGAGCUUUUUGGAAUGGGGGAGCCUCAGGUCACUCCUGGUUGGGCAGCCCUGAUUCAUAUCUCAGAUGGAAGAGGCCUUCACUGUCACCUAGCCCGCUUGCCACCUCACAUGGGGGCCUGUCUCCACAGUGGGUGAGAAGGCCCUGGGCACAGGGCCCCCUCUGCCCUCCAGGCUGUCCACUCCAUGCCGGGGCUGGACCCGUCCCACACCUGGCUGAAUUCUUGUUUCUGGCUCCGGGCCAGGGGAUCUUCCCAUGCCGUCUGCCCAUAUCCUCUCUGGGCCAGGAGCACUGAUUCUCUUGUUUCCCUGGCUUAUUGUCUUGCCAGCCUUGGAGGGGCACUCGAGAGUGAGGGGUCCCUGCUGCUCUCUAAGGAGGUGGGAGUGGGGGCUUCCACAGUUGGGUCCGACUGCCCCAGUGCCCUUCAGGGCCCUUCGAAGGGAAGAGGGGGACAAAGUGGAAAGUGGAGAAGGGGUAUUGGGGACGGUCCUGCCCACAGACCCCCAACCCGUCUGCCCAGCAUCCAGCAUGUCCAGCACACAUGUGCUCAGCACCUGCCCUGAGGACUGGCAGACCCACGUGACUGUCUUUGAGUAGAGGAGGAAGAGGAAGUGCAGAAGGAAGCUCCAGGUAGUGUCACUGGUGGAGGGUGUCUAGGUUCUUGGCGUCUUGAACAAAAAAUUGGACAAAAAAGGAAGGGAUUUAUUGAAAAUGAAAGUACAUUCUACAGUCUGGGCGAGGGCCCAAGGAUGGGGGCUUAAGGGCCCCAUUACAGAAUUUUUGGGAGCUUAAGUAUCCUUUACAGGAUUCCAUUGGUUACAUGGUAUAUGCUUUAUGUAAUGAAGAGGAUGAAUUAAAGUUACAAAGUCAUUUACUUGGUAUAUGCCCUAUGGAGAGGAUAUUUGCUGUCAUAGCUGAAGUGUGAAUCAGCCUUAUGUUCCCUGCCUCCAGUCCCUAUUUUCCUGCCUCAUUUUCCCCCUGAGAGAUGUGAUUCCCAUAAAUCUUUGUGGGAGGCAGAAGGACCAAUGGUCUUUCUUCUGUAACUGCUUCAUGCUGGCUUGGGGCAUAGUCCCUACCUGUUGGGGAUCACAGAACUCUCGCCCUGCUCUGUCUAGUGGAGGCAGAGUAGCUCCUUGAUGGCCGGGGUGGUGUCUUCACCUGGAACUAGCUGGAACCUUUGUUGCAUAACUAUCUGAAGCUUGAUGGUCUCUAGAUGAGAGGAAAUGAAUUUGGUUAAAAGAUUUAAUGGGAACUUCAGGGGAUGGAUAUCUAUGUUGUCAGGAAUGUUUGUUAUAGAGAUUUGCAAGAGAAAAAACAAAACCUGGUCUGUUCUAGAAUCUAUGUGUUUCCUUAAACUCUUAGCA